CGAAGAGCAUCAGGGAGAAGAAAGGAAGAACGUCAAAAUUGUUACGUUAACUUCCGAUCCUCGUAACUUCUCCGUCCGAGCUCCAAUCGCCGCACCGUUUGCGGCCACGCGUUCACCGCGUCGAACUCUACAUUUCUACCGGAACAAUUUCAUAGGAUCCAAUUAGCUUGAGAAAAAUGUUUACUCUUGCUUAUGUGAAGCUUGGGUAAGGUAAUUUCUGACUGAAAUUGAGGGACUUGAGCAAAACUCUGAAAAAAGGCUGACAAAAGGACUGCUGAUGCUGUUGGAAUCUGACCUCCCUGCACUCGAAAUGGAUUUUCUGGAGCUACAGAACUCCAAAUGGCGCGCUCUCAACGGCGUUGGAAAGUAGACAUUCAGAGCUUUCCAGCAAUAUAUAAUAGUCCAUACUUUAUUCGGAAAUUGACGAUGUAACUUGGCGUUGAACGCCAAGUUCAUGCUGCUGUCUGGAGUUAAACGCCAGAAAAACGUCAUGAUCCGGAGUUGAACGCCCAAAACACGUCAUAACUCGGAGUUCAACUCCAAGAGAAGUCUCAGCUCGUGGAUUGAUCAAGCUCAGCCCAAGCAUACACCAAGUGGGCCCCGGAAGUGGAUUUAUGCAUCAAUUACUUACUCAUGUAAACCCUAGGAGUUAGUUUAUUACUUACUAUUGUAUUAGACAUCUUUUGACAGUUUAAUCUCUUGACUG